UGAGCGACCUACCUAAUUGUGGGGGAUAGCCGGCCCAACGGCCGGGUAAUACCGCAUACGAUCGGAGAGGGGCAUCCCUUUCUGAGGAAGGCCUUCGGGCGCAAUUUGAGGGGCUCGCGGCCUAUCAGCUUGUUGGUGAGGUAAUGGCUCACCAAGGCGACGACGGGUAGCCGGCCUGAGAGGGUGACCGGCCACACUGGGACUGAGACACGGCCCAGACUCCUACGGGAGGCAG
rnacentral:rRNA from 1 species